rnacentral:misc_RNA from 1 species
GCGAUCAGGGGCUGGUGUGGGCGCUGUGAAAGGAGCGGCAUGGCGACGGUGUUCGGCCUGCGAGACGAAACACCCACUGCGCACACGUAGUGCACGCCACAGCGCACGAAAGGGAGACGUGUCCAGCCUCCGUGUUCUCAUGUCCGUGUGCUAGUGUGAGCGUCUGCCCGUGCGUGUGUAUGUGUGUGUUUCUCCAGCCGGCGCACGUGCCAUCAUCCAUCAUCCCUACCCUUCUUCUCCCAGAAGCACACCCUCCCUCCGCCUCUUCUCUUUAUUAGCUAUAUGAAGUAUCUGCGUGCGCUGUGUGGCACGCCCCCUCCCCGACUCUCUCUCAGUCACUGCGUACGUCUAUGCAUCCUCCCUAGCGCAUACACACGCAGGGCGAGUAUGAGGAUGGAUGGACGGAUGACAUCCAAACCGAGUGCGAGUGCGUGAAGGAGCCCAGGCAGAAAAAUGUGUGUGCCGAUACCUGAACCAAGUCCCCUCAGCAUCAUCAAUCAAGUCGUGAGCAUCAGCGGCUAUCGAGCACCUCUUCCUUCUUUCUAGUUUUACUCGGCCUCACCUCAUUUCUUCGCCGCUGUGCAGCGGAAGCACGCCACGGACGCAUGCAUGAGGGGCGAGUAGCAGGGGAGGUACAAUGACCUCGAGCACUUCUGGCCAGGUCGUAUUUCACCACCGGACCCCCCCCCGCCCGUCUGCGGUUGGGUCUCCACUCGGUGUGCGCCUGUGCCUGUGCGUACAUGUUAGAAAAUACGCCAAAUGCACGCAGGCGAAAGAACGCGACGAGCAUCGAAGAAGGACAGCAGAGGACUGCGCACCUGGAUGCCGGCGCUACCAUCAUCAGGAGCAGCAGCAGCAGCAGCGCUCCGCAUGUGUUCGCAUCCCCGCCCCUUUUCUUGUGUCUUCCCCUCCCUCCUCUCUCAAG